GAUGAACGCUAGCGGCAGGCUUAAUACAUGCAAGUCGUGGGGCAGCAGGACGGUAGCAAUACCGUUGCUGGCGACCGGCAAACGGGUGCGGAACACGUACACAGCCUUCCUUUAAGUGGGGAAUAGCCCAGAGAAAUUUGGAUUAAUACCCCGUAACAUGGUGAAAAGGCAUCUUUUUAUCAUUAUAGCAGCAAUGCGCUUAAUGAUGGGUGUGCGGCUGAUUAGGUAGUUGGCGGGGUAACGGCACACCAAGCCUUCGAUCAGUAACUGGUGUGAUGGCACGACCAGCCUCACGGGCGAUGGGACACGGGCCCGACUCGUACGGGAGGCAGCAGAGAGGAAUAUUGGGCACGGGAGGCAACUCUGACCCAGCCAUGCCGCGUGGAGGAUGCAGGUCCUCUGGAUUGUAAACUUCUUUUAUAUGGGACGAAAAAAGGGUUUUCUAACUCGACUGACGGUACCAUAUGAAUAAGCACCGGCUAACUCCGUGCCAGCCGCCGCCGUAAGAC
rnacentral:rRNA from 1 species